rnacentral:rRNA from 1 species
CAGUCGCCGCGGGAAUACAGAGGGUGCGAGCGUUAAUCGGAUUUACUGGGCGUAAAGCGUGCGUAGGCGGCUUCUUAAGUCGGAUGUGAAAUCCCUGAGCUUAACUUAGGAAUUGCAUUCGAUACUGGGAAGCUAGAGUAUGGGAGAGGAUGGUAGAAUUCCAGGUGUAGCGGUGAAAUGCGUAGAGAUCUGGAGGAAUACCGAUGGCGAAGGCAGCCAUCUGGCCUAAUACUGACGCUGAGGUACGAAAGCAUGGGGAGCAAACAGGAUUAGAUACCCGUGUAGUCCCUGUCACUUAUAC